rnacentral:rRNA from 1 species
UUAAAUUGAAGAGUUUGAUCAUGGCUCAGAUUGAACGCUGGCGGCAGGCCUAACACAUGCAAGUCGAACGGUAACAGGAAGCAGCUUGCUGCUUCGCUGACGAGUGGCGGACGGGUGAGUAAUGUCUGGGAAACUGCCUGAUGGAGGGGGAUAACUACUGGAAACGGUGGCUAAUACCGCAUAACGUCGCAAGACCAAAGAGGGGGACCUUCGGGCCUCUUGCCAUCAGAUGUGCCCAGAUGGGAUUAGCUAGUUGGUGAGGUAACGGCUCACCAAGGCGACGAUCCCUAGCUGGUCUGAGAGGAUGACCAGCCACACUGGAACUGAGACACGGUCCAGACUCCUACGGGAGGCAGCAGUGGGGAAUAUUGCACAAUGGGCGCAAGCCUGAUGCAGCCAUGCCGCGUGUAUGAAGAAGGCCUUCGGGUUGUAAAGUACUUUCAGCGGGGAGGAAGGUGUUGUGGUUAAUAACCGCAGCAAUUGACGUUACCCGCAGAAGAAGCACCGGCUAACUCCGUGCCAGCAGCCGCGGUAAUACGGAGGGUGCAAGCGUUAAUCGGAAUUACUGGGCGUAAAGCGCACGCAGGCGGUCUGUCAAGUCGGAUGUGAAAUCCCCGGGCUCAACCUGGGAACUGCAUUCGAAACUGGCAGGCUUGAGUCUUGUAGAGGGGGGUAGAAUUCCAGGUGUAGCGGUGAAAUGCGUAGAGAUCUGGAGGAAUACCGGUGGCGAAGGCGGCCCCCUGGACAAAGACUGACGCUCAGGUGCGAAAGCGUGGGGAGCAAACAGGAUUAGAUACCCUGGUAGUCCACGCCGUAAACGAUGUCUACUUGGAGGUUGUGCCCUUGAGGCGUGGCUUCCGGAGCUAACGCGUUAAGUAGACCGCCUGGGGAGUACGGCCGCAAGGUUAAAACUCAAAUGAAUUGACGGGGGCCCGCACAAGCGGUGGAGCAUGUGGUUUAAUUCGAUGCAACGCGAAGAACCUUACCUGGUCUUGACAUCCACAGAAGAAUCCAGAGAUGGAUUUGUGCCUUCGGGAACUGUGAGACAGGUGCUGCAUGGCUGUCGUCAGCUCGUGUUGUGAAAUGUUGGGUUAAGUCCCGCAACGAGCGCAACCCUUAUCCUUUGUUGCCAGCGGUCCGGCCGGGAACUCAAAGGAGACUGCCAGUGAUAAACUGGAGGAAGGUGGGGAUGACGUCAAGUCAUCAUGGCCCUUACGACCAGGGCUACACACGUGCUACAAUGGCGCAUACAAAGAGAAGCGACCUCGCGAGAGCAAGCGGACCUCAUAAAGUGCGUCGUAGUCCGGAUUGGAGUCUGCAACUCGACUCCAUGAAGUCGGAAUCGCUAGUAAUCGUGGAUCAGAAUGCCACGGUGAAUACGUUCCCGGGCCUUGUACACACCGCCCGUCACACCAUGGGAGUGGGUUGCAAAAGAAGUAGGUAGCUUAACCUUCGGGAGGGCGCUUACCACUUUGUGAUUCAUGACUGGGGUGAAGUCGUAACAAGGUAACCGUAGGGGAACCUGCGGUUGGAUCACCUCCUUACCUGAAAGAA